UACGUAGGGACCAAGCGUUGUCCGGAAUCAUUGGGCGUAAAGAGCGUGUAGGCGGCUUGUUAAGUCUUGCGUGAAAUCUCGGGGCUCAACCCCGAGCGGUCGUGAGAAACUGGCAGGCUAGAGUGCGGGAGAGGAGACUGGAAUUCCUGGUGUAGCGGUGAAAUGCGCAGAUAUCAGGAGGAACACCGAUGGCGAAGGCAGGUCUCUGGGCAUUAACUGACGCUGAGGAGCGAAAGCAUGGGGGAGCGAACAGG
rnacentral:rRNA from 1 species